AGCAUUCGUCUGCAGUCGACGAUUCCUACGGGAGGCAGCAGCAGGGAAUUUUGCACAAUGGGCGAAAGCCUGAUGCAGCGACGCCGCGUGCGGGAUGAAUGCCUUCGGGUUGUAAACCGCUUUCAGGAGGGACGAAGCGAAAGUGACGGUACCUCCAGAAGAAGCCCCGGCCAACUACGUGCCAGCAGCCGCGGUAAUACGUAGGGGGCGAACGUUGUCCGGAUUUAUUGGGCGUAAAGAGCUCGUAGGCGGCUCAGCAAGUCGGCCGUGAAAACCCGGGGCUCAACCCCGGGACGCCGGUCGAAACUGCUGUGGCUAGGGUCCGGUAGAGGAGAGUGGAAUUCCCGGUGUAGCGGUGGAAUGCGCAGAUAUCGGGAGGAACACCAGUAGCGAAGGCGGCUCUCUGGGCCGGUACCGACGCUGAGGAGCGAAAGCUAGGGGAGCGAACAGGAUUAGAUACCCUGGUAGUCCUAGCCGUAAACGUUGGGCACUAGGUGUGGCGGACUCAUUGACGUCUGCCGUGCCGCAGCUAACGCAUUAAGUGCCCCGCCUGGGGAGUACGGUCGCAAGGCUAAAACUCAAAGGAAUUGACGG
rnacentral:rRNA from 1 species